UCCGACCUUUUUCUUCGCUCAAGUGCGAACGGUUUUGAUAUAAUCAGUGAUGCCUGUCGAAGCCACAGCUUCAAAAAUCACAACUUGAAAAUAGAAUGAAUGAAUACAAAUCCUAAUACUUCUCUAUUGAA
rnacentral:ribozyme from 14 species